UAACGCGUGAGGAACCUGCCUCAAAGAGGGGGACAACAGUUGGAAACGACUGCNAAUACCGCAUANGCCCACGGNUCGGCNUCNAGCAGGGGGAAAAGGAGCAAUCCGCUUUGANAUGGCCUCGCGUCCGAUUAGCUNGUUGGUGAGGUAACGGCCCACCAAGGCGACNAUCGGUAGCCGGACUGANAGGUUGAACGGCCACNUUGGGACUGANACACGGNCCAGACUCCUACGGGAGGNAGCAGUGGGGAAUAUUGCACAAUGGGGGAAACCCUGAUGCAGCGACGCCGCGUGGANGAAGAAGGUCUUCGGAUUGUAAACUCCUGUUGUUGAGGAAGAUAAUGACGGUACUCAACANGGAAGUGACGGCUAACUACGUGCCAGCNGCCGCGGUAAAACGUANGUCACAAGCGUUGUCCGGAAUUACUGGGUGUAAAGGGAGCGCAGGCGGNAGAACAAGUUGGAAGUGAAAUCCAUGGGCUCAACCCAUGAACUGCUUUCAAAACUGUUUUUCUUGANUAGNGCAGAGGUNGGCNGAAUUCCCGGUGUAGCGNUGGAAUGCGUAGAUAUCGGGAGGAACANCANUGGCGAAGGCNGCCUACUGGGCACCAACUGACNCUGAGGCUCGAAAGUGUGGGUAGCAAACAGGAUUASAUNCCCUGGUAGUCCACACCGNANACNAUGAUUACNAGGUGU
rnacentral:rRNA from 1 species